rnacentral:rRNA from 1 species
UACGGAGGGUGCAAGCGUUAUCCGGAUUUACUGGGUUUAAAGGGUGCGUAGGUGGGUCUGUAAGUCAGUGGUGAAAUCUCCGGGCUUAACCCGGAAACUGCCAUUGAUACUAUAGGUCUUGAAUAUCCGUGGAGGUGAGCGGAAUAUGUCAUGUAGCGGUGAAAUGCUUAGAUAUGACAUAGAACACCAAUUGCGAAGGCAGCUCACUACGGGAUUAUUGACACUGAGGCACGAAAGCGUGGGGAUCAAACAGG